GACGAACCGUGCAACGUUGUUCGGAAUCACUUGGGACGUUAAAGGGCGCGUAGGCGGGCAAGCAAGUCCGGGGAUGAAAUCCGUUUCGGCCUCAACCGGAAAGUGCCUUGGAUACUGCUUGUCUGGAGGGAGGUAGGGCAUGUGGAACUUCGUGGUGGAGCGGUGAAAUGCGUUGAUAUCAGAAGGAACGACCGGUGGCGAAAGCGACGUGCUGGACCUCUUCUGACGCUGAGGCGCGAAAGCUAGGGGAGCAAACGGG
rnacentral:rRNA from 1 species